rnacentral:lncRNA from 1 species
AAAUAUAUAAUAUAAAAUCUACUCAUCAUAACCCUCAGUUAAUGUCAUUUUGUAGGAUUACUUUUGACAAAUUGUAAUAUUUAUUCCAAUUAAUUAUUCUUAAAUGAAUCUGCAUGACUAGAUGUAUGCAUGAAGUAGACAGAAGGAAGUUUUUUUUUAUGUUCUGUUGAAGGAAUUGUUUUAUGCUCGCUGAUUGCCCCCUUCGCUCCCCGAACUUUGCAAGGCGUUUGUCAAUUUUCUUUGUGAACUUUAAAUCUAGUCGAUGACUCCCUAAACCUUUAUAAUUAGUCGAUUUAAUCUUUGAAUCAUAGCUUUUAAUCCGUUUUACGGCAUUGAAAGUACAAUUUAACAACCCCAAUCUCCAUAGAAAAUAUCCAAUAAAUCAAAUUAAUUUAGGUAAUACGUACCUUUUAAUUCCCCAACACUCACCAAAUUAUUUCUUUUAAAAAGUUAAAAGUGCUUUUAAGUUUCUCUGUCAAACGCUAUCAUAAGCACUUUUGAUGAUCUAAAAGUGAUUUUAGUUAUUUUUAAGCACCUUCAAACAUACCCGAGUACAGCGCUAAACUAUCGUUUGAACUCAUUCAUAGUAAAAAAACGUGACUUAACAAUGACUUAACAAUGACUUAACAAUAAAUAGUAUUCCCACCUAAUGAAUAUUAAAUAAGAUAGAAUGUGUAUGAUGUAGAUGGAAAACCAUAAUGUUUAUGUUCUGGUCAUCAUCCACGUCUUCGUCUAGUUGGAUGGAAAAAUAUCAGUGUCAAGAUAUAAAAUGAGAUCCCCUUUGGAUUCUGUGUUCAGAGCCCGCAAACCAAAAUAUCGGACCAUUUAAGAAAGAGAGAAAGAGAUCCGGGCCGUUUCAGUGUUUGAAUUUUUGUUAAGUGGACCAAUUGGAUAGGCUAAUGAAAGCCGUAAGAUUGAAAUUAAGUAGUCCGGAUCUCUCGGUCCGCGAGCUUCCAACACAAAGAUCCGGAGUGGAUCUUAAUCCGUCAAGAUAUGGAUGCAUCACACAUGUAGUUGGUAAAACAGCCCAGCUAUAAUAACUUGCAAAAUUAUAAAACCAAAAUUAAAAAGUUGGAAUGCGAAAUCUCUAACUCUAUCACCACAGCACAAAGAAAACAGUACCUUCAAGUAUCUGCCUUCAGGCACGCUUGCUAAAAGAAAAACG